AUUGAACGCUGGCGGUAGGCCUAACACAUGCAAGUCGAGCGGAUGCAGAGAGCUUGCUCCUGGUUUCAGCUGCGGACGGGCGGGUGAUGGCUAGGAAUAUCGCUGGCUGCGUUGUAUAACGUCCUGACGCGGGCACUCAUACGCCAUUCCUCCUGACGACGAACGUGUGAAAUCAUCGGAUCUUCCGCUAUCAGAUGAUCCGAGGUCGGAUUAGCUAGUUGGUGGGGUAAAGGCCUACCAAGGCGACGAUCCGUAACUGGUCUGAGAGGAUGAUCAGUCACACUGGAACUGAGACACGGUCCAGACUCCUACGGGAGGCAGCAGUGGGGAAUAUUGGACAAUGGGCGAAAGCCUGAUCCAGCCAUGCCGCGUGUGUGAAGAAGGUCUUCGGAUUGUAAAGCCCUUUUGGUUGGGAGGAAGAGCAGUAAGUUAAUACCUUGCUGUUUUGACGUUACCAACAGAAUAAGCACCGGCUAACUUCGUG
rnacentral:rRNA from 1 species